UAUAAUUAUUGGUCUUGGACUACAUAUACAUAUUUUUACUUUUUCUCCAGUUGCGCCUUUUUUUCAUUAAAGCCCACGCUUUAUUUGCGCUUAAAGCUCCAACGGACCUUAGGGCUUUUUUGCGCUUUUCGCCUUUGAUAACACUGGUGUCCGGUACCCGCAUUAGGUCCCCGACUAAUCCGGAUUCUCACCGCGUAAGGCCCAUUAAAGGGGAAACACUCCCUACAGGAUGUCUUGUUUCUCAGAAUUCAUUGUCAGUAGUUUAGAUUCUAGAAAGCAUGCUCCUCUUGUAAAUUAUAAAUGGGUCUCAUUGUUCUGAAGUACUGCCCCAUGGAGUUGUUUCACUUGAAAAAAUCAGACACAAGUUUCCAAGAUAUUCAAUAGGAAAAAUGAUGUUCCAGAGAACAGACUGCUGUUAUGAGGUGACUUGUGAAUUGACUGAUUGCUAGAACUUGGCUUUACCGUACCACUGCAAAGCAUCAGUCAAGAAGUAAGUCCAGAACAUUUCUAUGCCGAUGGUGGAUAUACAGUCAGUGGUGGUCUCUGGAACGAUCUACUAAAGGUAAGGGAUUUCAACACACACUUGCAAAACCUAAAGAUUGGAUUCUCUCAAAUGUGCAGCCGCACUUAAUUCCUCUGAGGCACUGAAGAACAAAGCAGCAACAGAACAAAUCCCAACAUUGAUUAUAUCAUGUAUCCUUUAGUAUUGUUGUGUCUUUGUUUUGUAUUAUUAAAUUGUAAUUCCUAUACAGCUUUUAAGAAACAUUCAUAGGACAUCUUUUAAACCAUUAUCAUUGUGGUUGUUUUGACUAGAAUUAGUCAAGUGUGUAGCUUUGUAAUAGAGUUAUUACAAAGAGGCUUACAAUAUAUUUAUUGUAAAAAAGUGAGGGAUUAAGAGUUUAAUUCCUAGAUUGUAAUAGGUUGUAAUCUAAAGUUUGCUCAGUUAGUGAAAUUGAAAUCCUACUAGUGUAGGUCGUGGUUUUUAAUCAUGUGAGCUUGGAGUUUUCCACGUAAAUAUCGUUAUGAUCUUUACU